UGCGGUGGUGAGGGGUGGGAUGGGGAGAAGACAGCUCCUUGCACGACCAAGGGGGCAAAUUGAAGAGAAGGAGAAGGGAGUUCUUAGGGGGGGAAAAAAAUCAGUCGGUGUAGUCCUUGGAAGGCAAAGAGGGAGAAAAGUUGUUUCUUCAGGUUCUCAGUGAAGGAUAAGUUAGAGAUCUGUCUGUAAGUGUACAAAAAAGCGCUCUAAACCUAGGGUGGAAGUGUGGAUGUGGGGAAGAUGCCAGGAGCCCAGGAACACCAAGUCAGGAGGAGCAAAGAAGCUAAGAAUAGGAACAUAGGAGCAGACAAGCUUUUGGAAGUAGCCUUUUUUUAAGGUCCCCCGAGAUAGGGACUUUAAGACUGUAAAUUAUUUAUUUGUUUAUUUUGCACUCUUGUGAGUCUGAAUCUUGGUGAUGGAAGAAUUUGUUGAGGGACAUGCUGUACGAGCCUUGAGAGUUAAUGGAGCAUGGAGGACAAACUGAAGAGGCAGCUUUUUCCCAAACCCACUUUCAAAUGGUGCAGCCACUACCGACCCAGUAUAAAACUUGCUCAAAAGUUUAUGAAGUUUCAAUAAACUGAACAGGGUCCCCUGGAGUGAGCAUGCGUUUGACAGAGGCAGGUAGGUAAAUUACAGUGCAGUGAUGGAAUUGCAGAGAAGCCCUGGUCUCGGCACUUUCCUAACCUGAGAUUAUUUCCAAAGACUUGCAUUGGUAGUGAUUGCAGUGAGCUGCAGUUCCCACAGGUGCUUCCUGUGGCCCACAGGAAGUCCCUCUGUUUCAUGUGAAGUUUUAAACUUUUGUACUGAAUAGAUGACCUCUUCAUAGGUCAUAUUACUUGGUUAUUUUCAACUUGCUGUUCAGAUUUAACUAUGUUACUCGGUAUUCCCUGGUAAAUCAACUGCUUAUUUAUUGAAAAGCAUAAUUGCAUAGCAGUACAGGAAUGCUAUUUCUAAUAAAGUUGUGCUCAUAAUCAC